UACCGAGGGUGCAAGCGUUGUUCGGAAUUAUUGGGCGUAAAGGGCGCGUAGGCGGUGCUGUAAGUCUGUAGUGAAAUCUCUGGGCUCAACUCAGAGUCUGCUAUAGAAACUGCAGUGCUGGAGUGUGGGAGAGGUGAGUGGAAUUCCCGGUGUAGCGGUGAAAUGCGUAGAUAUCAGGAGGAACACCGGUGGCGAAGGCGGUUCUCUGGGCCUGUACUGACGCUGAGGAGCGAAAGCGUGGGGAGCGAACAGG
rnacentral:rRNA from 1 species